rnacentral:rRNA from 1 species
UACGGAGGGUGCGAGCGUUGUUCGGAAUUAUUGGGCGUAAAGCGCACGUAGGCGGCUCUCUAAGUCUUACGGUGAAAGGCCGGGGCUCAACCCCGCGCUGGCCGAGGAUACUGGGGGGCUGGAGACAGGGAGAGGCCAGUGGAAUUCCGGGUGUAGCGGUGGAAUGCGUAGAGAUCCGGAAGAACACCGGAGGCGAAGGCGGCUGGCUGGCCCUGGUCUGACGCUGAGGUGCGAAAGCGUGGGGAGCGAACAGG